rnacentral:rRNA from 1 species
CGAAUGCUGACAUAAGUAACGAUAAAGCGGGUGAAAAGCCCGCUCGCCGGAAGACCAAGGGUUCCUGUCCAACGUUAAUCGGGGCAGGGUGAGUCGACCCCUAAGGCGAGGCCGAAAGGCGUAGUCGAUGGGAAACAGGUUAAUAUUCCUGUACUUGGUGUUACUGCGAAGGGGGGACGGAGAAGGCUAUGUUGGCCGGGCGACGGUUGUCCCGGUUUAAGCGUGUAGGCUGGUUUUCCAGGCAAAUCCGGAAAAUCAAGGCUGAGGCGUGAUGACGAGGCACUACGGUGCUGAAGCAACAAAUGCCCUGCUUCCAGGAAAAGCCUCUAAGCAUCAGGUAACAUCAAAUCGUACCCCAAACCGACACAGGUGGUCAGGUAGAGAAUACCAAGGCGCUUGAGAGAACUCGGGUGAAGGAACUAGGCAAAAUGGUGCCGUAACUUCGGGAGAAGGCACGCUGAUAUGUAGGUGAAGUCCCUCGCGGAUGGAGCUGAAAUCAGUCGAAGAUACCAGCUGGCUGCAACUGUUUAUUAAAAACACAGCACUGUGCAAACACGAAAGUGGACGUAUACGGUGUGACGCCUGCCCGGUGCCGGAAGGUUAAUUGAUGGGGUCAG